UGUAUGUACAUGCCUUUCUGUAGUCUGACACUUGACUUAGUCUUUUGGUAUUUUUGGAGGGGUAUUUUGGACUGUUCACAUCUUUCUUUUUCCUCUUCUCCCUUCGCGCUGCUGCGUUUUUGCCGCUAUUCGGCUACUUUUUCUCAUCAAUGGAAAAUUCUCAACGAUCUCAUACUUUCCGCUCGAAGACCGCCGAGCCGAUGCCCUCGGCAACCUCAAAUCCCUCCCCGACGAACUCAUCUGCACCAUCUUAGAUUACGUCACUCCUCGAGACAUUGCUCGUCUCGCUUGCGUCAUCAGCUUUUGUGUUAUGUAUAUAUUCUGCAACGAAGAGCAGCUUUGGAUGAGUCUUUGCCUCAAGAAAGUCAACGAUCCACUUCAAUACAAGGUCUCCUGGAAAAAGACAGCAUUGCAUUUGUAAUGAUGCAGGGAGAAUUUGCCGAAUGAAUAUGUAGAAUAUUGCAGAAAACCAUUGCAGUUCGGGUAUUCCGUUUGUGAUGGACUUUUUUCGGGUUUUACUAUGAUGGGAGGCUUAUCUUCGGUUGUGCCGCCUAGGUUCUGGCUAAAAAAAAAUUUUUGCAGUUGGGGUAUUGAAUCAAAACACGGAGGUUUCAUCGCAACCGAUUCUGUUUGAGCAUGGAUGAUGCAUUGAGAAAUGUUUAUCCAGAGAUGCAAGUGGCUUGACUGAGAUGCUUUGAUGCAGGCAAUAUUAUGGUUGCUUUUGCUUAAUAUUUUUUUGCUGAUUAUUUUUUUAUGUUUCCUAUCAUUCAAUUUUUUAUAUAACUUGAACAUUUUAAUGAUGAUAAAUGUUAUCAAGUCUCAGUUGUUUUAUGCAUUGUUGAUUGGAACUACCUAUCAAAGCUAAAUGUGUUGGAUUGACUUUUAACAGUUGCAUGUACUGUUACGUUUGUAGAGUUGUCAUGGACUGUAGGCGAAGUUGUGAAGUAAAGUUUAUUUCAUUUAGCUGGCGUUUGUGAAGACAGAUGGGUGGAAGAGCAGAUGGAUAUUAUCAAUUGAAAAAGGAAGCGACGGAAAAAGUCUUCAACUUUAAUUUAGUAGUUUAAUUAUUUGCUUAUGUGAUUAUUACUUAUUAGUUGAUUGAAUUGUGAAGAUUUAGCUUAGUUAAUGUUAAAGAUUGAUUAAUUUUGGUUGGAAAAUAUUUCGCAGAUAAAGUUGUUGAGAAAUUGGAAAGAGACUCAUAUAAAGCAAAUGCGCCAUGGCAUUGCCACUCAAAUUCGGGUAUAUCCUUCCUUUUUUUGUUUAUUAAAUAUUAUCUAGUGAAGUGCAUAUACGUUUUUUAUUUGGUUCUGAAUCAGCUUCAUAGGUAGAAUUUUGCAAAGUAGCUAGGUGGAUGAUGUCAACUUUACAUCAGAUUUAGGUUGAAGGAUGGGACCAAAUUUUUGUACAAAGGGUUUCGAGGUUGAGUGAAAAAUUAGUUUGAACAAAUUGUUCGAUCUGAGGAUUUAAUUUUCAUUUAAAAGUAUCAGUUACAACACCAUGGAUGAGGGCAAAGUAUUUGUCAUUAUCUGAUGAUAUGCUUAUAAAACUUUGGGACUGGGAGAAGGUUUGGUGUGUACUUUUUCUCUAUAGUUCUUACUUCAUUUGGUGUAAUCAUGCUGAAUUUGGAUUGGCUCUGUUUGAAAUUCCUACAUUUGGAACCUUGGCUCCCCGACCCAAAUUUUGCUUUGAAAUUUGUGUCAAAAUAAUCGAUGCUGCUAUUGUCGAAGCAGAGGGUGAUAUUGAAACACAAGUAUGUUUCCUGCUUCAGGAAAGGUGCAUUAAUGUAAUUCUGAUUCCUUCACCUAUUCUUUUGGACUCAUAUUCGAUGGGCUAACCUAUGAUUUGCUAUGAGCCUUGCUAGAGAGGAGUUAAGAAAGUAUUAACAAUCCUGCAAUAUAGUUGUGUAGGACUGUUGUACGUUAGAAUAAUGGUUCUAACUAUCCUGUUUCUUUCUUCCCAUUGGCAUCGGGUACAUAAUAACAAGAGGAAUUGAAAGCAAAAUUUAAGAAGUGGAUUUGAGACAAAUCUGAUGUUUAGAUUUCCAGUAAUCAUGAAGAAGACGAGGUUUGAAUAUAUUUGAUAUUGUCUAUUCAUUAAGUAAUUUUUUUUUUUUUUCAAUUUUUCUAUCUUGUCACCCUUCUUUAUUUGAGUGGAAUUGGAUUAAAUGUAUGGGAAAAAGGUGGUCUUCUUAAUGCAGAUCUUAGUUUAGCAGUAGCUUUUUUGCACAUUUGGUGUCUUAGUGUUUGAAGGAUGAUUGGAGUUCAAAAUUUCUAUAGAGAAUAGAGACGGUUCAAUAAGUUCAAAAACUUAAAGUGAAAUAUUCAAAUGAGAUUUUUUUUAUUGAAAUUAAAAAAAUUAUUAAA